rnacentral:rRNA from 1 species
GACGAACGCUGGCGGCGUGCCUAAUACAUGCAAGUAGAACGCUGAAGGAGGAGCUUGCUUCUCUGGAUGAGUUGCGAACGGGUGAGUAACGCGUAGGUAACCUGCCUGGUAGCGGGGGAUAACUAUUGGAAACGAUAGCUAAUACCGCAUAAUAGUAGAUGUUGCAUGACAUUUGCUUAAAAGGUGCAAUUGCAUCACUACCAGAUGGACCUGCGUUGUAUUAGCUAGUUGGUGGGGUAACGGCUCACCAAGGCGACGAUACAUAGCCGACCUGAGAGGGUGAUCGGCCCACCUUGGACUGGGACACGGCCCAGACUCCUACGGGAGGCAGCAGUAGGGAAUCUUCGGAAAUGGACGGAAGUCUGACCGAGCAACGCCGCGUGAGUGAAGGAGGUUUUCGGAUCGUAAAGCUCUGUUGUAAGAGAAGAAAGAGUGUGAGAGUGGAAAGUUCACACUGUGACGGUAUCUUACCAGAAAGGGAUGGCUAACUACGUG